UACGGAGGGGGCGAGCGUUGUUCGGAAUUAUUGGGCGUAAAGGGCGCGUAGGCGGCCGGCCAAGUCGGGUGUGAAAUCCCUCGGCUCAACCGAGGAACUGCACUCGAUACUGGCUGGCUCGAGUCCGGGAGGGGAUGGUGGAAUUCCCAGUGUAGCGGUGAAAUGCGUAGAUAUUGGGAAGAACACCGGUGGCGAAGGCGGCAUCCUGGACCGGCAUUGACGCUGAGGAGCGAAAGCCAGGGGAGCAAACGGG
rnacentral:rRNA from 1 species